rnacentral:rRNA from 1 species
GUAGGUGACCUGCGGAAGGAUCAUUAUCGAGCCGCCGACGCGGGCCCGCGGUACUUCGGUGCCGUUUGGGUCCCGUAGGCAAAUGGCCCAACCCUUGCUUCUUGACAACCAUUGUCUCGGCGGUACCGCGCCUUUCGGGGCCAGCUGGAUUCGUUCCGGCUUGUGUCCGCCAGAGAACCAUUAAAAAUCGUUUAUUAGAUCGUCUAAGAAUGAAAUAAUUCAAUAAAACUUUCAACAACGGAUCUCUUGGUUCCGGCAUCGAUGAAGAACGCAGCGAAAUGCGAUAACUAAUGUGAAUUGCAGAAUUCCGUGAAUCAUCGAGUCUUUGAACGCACAUUGCACCCUCUGGUAUUCCGGGGGGUAUAUCUGUCCGAGCGUCAUUACAACCUUAAAGCCCGGCUUUUUAUUGGAUUCUAGUUCUGCUCCGGCGGGACGGAUCCGAAAUGGAUUAAUGACGUCGCGAUUACCACGGAAUCGAGCGAAUGGAAUCAUUAACGCUCUGUUUGAAGUGGCCGACGGUCUUCUGAAGCGGUCAUUCUUGAUCGUCUUUUUUAACGGUUGACCUCGGAUCAGAUAAGGAUACCCGCUGAACUUAAGCAUAUC